GCCGGUCGCCUACCUGUCGCUGCUCGGGUCUGGGUGACAGCGGGGAGUAGCGCGGAGACUGAAAUCAGCAACAGCAGGCGCCAGGUCUGCCCGCUCCUCCUGCAAGAAGUGGCCAAGGGAGAGAAGGCAGAGUGCCCUCCUUUCACGCGCCAGUGGAAUUCUCUCAACAGCCCAGGGAGGCUGCAACCGCUGUGAUUUCCCUAAAUAUUGGACGGAGAAACUGAGUCUCAGGGAGAUGGAGCGAAUGCCCCAAAGUCACACGGCUGGGACUGAGCGGCUGACCGCUGUGCCCCGCCCUGCACGCCUGACACGCGAACCCACUUGGAUGCCCUGGAGCAGCCUCCUUUGAGGGGUAUAAGGGACAGAUAGAAAUAAAUGCAGCAAAGAUCAUCCUAAUAGUUUUUAAGUAUCUACAAUUCCAAGGUUUUCCUUCCUAUACUUUGCCUGCCCCACCUCUGCCCCGGACUCCCACCAGUGUGUAAGCUCCAAGGGGACAAGAGUUUGUAUUUGUUUUGUUCUCUGCCUAAAAUAGCAGUGAGAGACGUUAAUAAACACUGAACGAAUGAAGCAAUACAGUCUUAGGUGAGGCACCACUCCAGGCACUGUGGUCCUGUGGGAGAGAGGACCCAUCUCAGCCUCCCAGACCCAUGGUGCGGGCCGGGGGUUAAGUACCCCACCCCCACAGAGCUUAGCUCAGGGCCGGGCACUGCCUAAGCCCUCAUAUGGUAGCUCUUUAUUUUGAUAAUUACCACCAGGCAAAGUAGCAUAAGACUGUUAGGCAAGGGGCAGCACCCCUGAAACCAGCUGAGACCUGGACAGGUCUGCAGCCAGGCAAACUCCAGAGGCCUCUCUUGCUGAUGCACCUGUCUUCCCGAUACAGCGACAGUGGACUGUAGAUCUUGUCUUCAUUCCAUUUCUUGCAGAAGUGAAAAUCCUCUUCGGAUUUCUUUCACUUACUGAAAACCUGUACUAAUGUAUCUUUCAUAAAAGUGAAGUGGCGUAAUUUGAACAUUCGAAAAGGAGGGGAUACCUUACCUGUGUUACGUCAUUGAGUACACAGCAGCCCUGGAAGGACGGCACUGCACUGAUCCUCAUUUCACCGACAAGGUUUAAAACAUGCCCUCGCGAUACCUCAAGACAAAUGCUGGGCAUAGAAGCCACAGGGCAUAAAUAUGCAAAGAAGUAAAAAGCUAACCUUUUCAAACAA